GUUGUAUGAGUUAUACACUCACUUAUAUAAUUUUUAUAGUUAAUAGAUCUUCCCCUUACUAAGUGAAAGGAGUAUUUGUUUCUCCAUGGGGUGGGAACUCUUUGUACCAUACUGGUACUUUAAUAGAUGGUCUAAUUGAUAUCAACCCAAUUAAUUUACCAGGUCUACCACGUGUUCUAAAUUGGUUAGACAUUAUUCCCAUUUGAAUUGCCUUCACUCCUGAGUCUCUGAGUGUCAGGUUCAAGCUGCUGACCGACGAGGUUCCUUAUGCUUGCGAACCAGUUAGAUUCUAUACACAUAUGAAUCUUCCCCAUAUUCGAAUAUCUGAAUGUCAGACUCAAGCUGAUGAUAUAUGAGGUAUGGUCCCCGCUGUAUCAAUCAAGUCCCAUUGAAAUAUUAAAACGUUGUUCAUACAUCUUUGAAUGACCUUUUAUGUGCUGACAAUAUGUUCUGAAAUGAAGAGAUUUUACCCCUGAUGAAGUCUUGGAACAAGACGAAACGCGUUGGUUUAUUUAUCUAUCUAUUAUCUGAUGUUACCUCCGAAUCUACAAUAAGGAGAAGGAGGAAAUCGUAGUGAUAUAUCUACGCUUUUUCCUCAUCACUACAAACUGAUUGUUCAAAUUGUGCGACAAAUGUAAAUGUAUCAACUCUGUAUACUUAUGAACAUUUGUGUCGGGUUUAUAUGUUGUUUUAAUAAAUUUUUAUGUUAGUA